CUGAUGCCCAGACAGAAGGUGACUGACUGUUGGUCUUAUAGCAAUGCUUGGGGUGAACUAAAUAGAAAAGAGGAUUUAAGAACCACAAAUGUCCCCAGGGAAACCAGGGCUAUGUGCCCUGUGUGAAUGCUUUACUGACACCAGCUCAUUUAAUCUUCUUAUCAACCUUAAGGGCGAAAACACCCUCACUGAUAACCUUGCCACGAGUAGUAGACAGAUGCAGCACUGCAAUCCCACUGUGGAGAGAUCUGGAGGACGGUGAUGGAGGAAAAUCUUCUCAGUGGGCAGAACUU